rnacentral:rRNA from 1 species
UUAAAAAGCUCGUAGUUGAAUUUCGGGAUUAAUGUUUCGGUCAUGCCGUUGGUAUGUACUGAUAUUAUUGAUUUCUCACCUUCUAAAGAACCGUAAUGCCAUUAAUUUGGUGUCACGGGGAAUUAGGACUGUUACCUUGAAAAAAUUAGAGUGUUUAAAGCAGGCUCACGCUUGAAUACAUUAGCAUGGAAUAAUGAAAUAGGACAUCCGAUUCUAUUUUGUUGGUUUCUAGGAUCGAUGUAAUGAUUAAUAGGGAUAGUUGGGGG